GACGAACGCUGGCGGCGUGCCUAAUACAUGCAAGUAGAACGCUGAAGGAGGAGCUUGCUUCUCUGGAUGAGUUGCGAACGGGUGAGUAACGCGUAGGUAACCUGCCUGGUAGCGGGGGAUAACUAUUGGAAACGAUAGCUAAUACCGCAUAAUAUUGACUAUUGCAUGAUAGUCAGCUGAAAGGUGCAACUGCACCACUACCAGAUGGACCUGCGUUGUAUUAGCUAGUUGGUGGGGUAACGGCUCACCAAGGCGACGAUACAUAGCCGACCUGAGAGGGUGAUCGGCCACACUGGGACUGAGACACGGCCCAGACUCCUACGGGAGGCAGCAGUAGGGAAUCUUCGGCAAUGGACGGAAGUCUGACCGAGCAACGCCGCGUGAGUGAAGAAGGUUUUCGGAUCGUAAAGCUCUGUUGUAAGAGAAGAACGAGUGUGAGAGUGGAAAGCUCACACUGUGACGGUAUCUUACCAGAAAGGGACGGCUAACUACGUG
rnacentral:rRNA from 1 species